GACGAACGCUGGCGGCGUGCCUAAUACAUGCAAGUAGAACGCACAGUUUAUACCGUAGCUUGCUACACCAUAGGCUGUGAGUUGCGAACGGGUGAGUAACGCGUAGGUAACCUGCCUGGUAGCGGGGGAUAACUAUUGGAAACGAUAGCUAAUACCGCAUAAUAUUGAUUAUUGCAUGAUAAUUGAUUGAAAGAUGCUAUUGCAUCACUACCAGAUGGACCUGCGUUGUAUUAGCUAGUAGGUGAGGUAACGGCUCACCUAGGCGACGAUACAUAGCCGACCUGAGAGGGUGAUCGGCCACACUGGGACUGAGACACGGCCCAGACUCCUACGGGAGGCAGCAGUAGGGAAUCUUCGGCAAUGGACGAAAGUCUGACCGAGCAACGCCGCGUGAGUGAAGAAGGUUUUCGGAUCGUAAAGCUCUGUUGUAAGAGAAGAACGGGUGUGAGAGUGGAAAGUUCACACUGUGACGGUAUCUUACCAGAAAGGGACGGCUAACUACGUG
rnacentral:rRNA from 1 species